rnacentral:rRNA from 1 species
UGACCGCUGGCGGUAGGCCUAACACAUGCAAGUCGACCGGCAGCACAGUAAGAGCUUGCUCUUACGGGUGGCGGGUGGCGGACGGGUGAGGAAUACAUCGGAAUCUACUUUUUCGUGGGGGAUAACGUAGGGAAACUUACGCUAAUACCGCAUACGACCUACGGGUGAAAGCAGGGGAUCUUCGGACCUUGCGCGAUUGAAUGAGCCGAUGUCGGAUUAGCUAGUUGGCGGGGUAAAGGCCCACCAAGGCGACGAUCCGUAGCUGGUCUGAGAGGAUGAUCAGCCACACUGGAACUGAGACACGGUCCAGACUCCUACGGGAGGCAGCAGUGGGGAAUAUUGGACAAUGGGCGCAAGCCUGAUCCAGCCAUACCGCGUGGGUGAAGAAGGCCUUCGGGUUGUAAAGCCCUUUUGUUGGGAAAGAAAAGCAGCAGGUUAAUACCCCGCUGUUCUGACGGUACCCAAAGAAUAAGCACCGGCUAACUUCGUG